AGCGAACGCUGGCGGCAGGCCUAACACAUGCAAGUCGAACGAAGUCUUCGGACUUAGUGGCGGACGGGUGCGUAACACGUGUGAACGUGCCUUUAGGUUCGGAAUAGCUCCUGGAAACGGGUGGUAAUGCCGAAUGUGCCCUUCGGGGGAGAGAUUUAUCGCCUUUAGAGCGGCCCGCGUCUGAUUAGCUAGUUGGUGGUGUAACGGACCACCAAGGCGACGAUCAGUAGCUGGUCUGAGAGGAUGAUCAGCCACAUUGGGACUGAGACACGGCCCAAACUCCUACGGGAGGCAGCAGUGGGGAAUCUUGCGCAAUGGGCGAAAGCCUGACGCAGCCAUGCCGCGUGAAUGAUGAAGGUCUUAGGAUUGUAAAAUUCUUUCACCGGGGACGAUAAUGACGGUACCCGGAGAAGAAGCCCCGGCUAACUUCGUGCCAGCCGCCGCCGUAAGAC
rnacentral:rRNA from 1 species